UGUGAUGCAGUUAGUUAGUUGAAAAAGUAUAGUAGGGCAUGCAAAAUGUUCAUUCGAGCUGUUUGGAUAGAAAAUACAGAGAAAUAAAGAGAGAAAAUUCGAUUGAUAAUUUUUUGUGCUGCUCGUCAUCUUUAAAUGUACUAAAUUGUUUCAAUGAAAUGCAUAAACCGCAUCUAACUAAUACAGAUUUACGCUGCUCAAAAUUUAAUGUCAUGGAGAUAAUGAGCCACUACCAUGCUUAUGCAAGAGAAAACAUAAUAACCAACAGAAU